rnacentral:lncRNA from 1 species
GUGGAGGGUGUUGAAGAGAAUAAUAAGGUUCCUGCUGUGCCAGAAAGCUUUAAGGAAAAGGGAAGAAAUUUCACAGAACUGAAGAUCAAGCGCCUGAGAAAAGUUUCCCAAAAGAUGCUUCUAAAGGCAAGGAGGAAGCUUAUAUAUGAAAAAGCUAAGCACUAUCACAAGUAAUAUAGGCAGAUGUACAGAACUGAGAUUUGAAUGGCUAGGAUGGCAAGAAAAGCUGGCAAUGUCUACCAACCUGCAGAACCCAAAUUGACACUUGUCAUUAGGAUCAGAGGUGUCAAUGGUGUGAGCCCAAAGAUCCAAAAGGUGUUGCAGUUUCUUCACCUUUGUCGGAUCUUCAAUUGAAACUUUGUUAAGUUCAACAGGGCUUCAAUUAACAUGCUGAAGACUGUAGAACCAUAUAUUGCAUAGGGGUACCCAAACCUGAAGUCAGUAAAUAAACUAAUCUACAAGUGUGGUUAUGGCAAAAUCACUAAGAAGCAAAUUGCCUUGACAAAUAACACUUUGAUUGCUCGGUCUCUUGGUAAAUAUAGCAUCAUCUGCACAGCAAAUCUGAUUCAUGAGAUCUAUACUCUCAGAAAAUGCUUCAAAGAAGCAAAUUGCUUCUUUUGGUCCUUCAAAUUAUUCUCUCUAUGAGGUGGAAUGAAGAAAAAGACCAUCCAUUUUGUAGAAAGUGGAGAUGACCAACAGGAAAGAGCAGAGCAACAGGCCUAUCAGAUGGAUGAACUAA